GACGAACGCUGGCGGCGUGCCUAAUACAUGCAAGUAGAACGCUGAAGGAGGAGCUUGCUUCUCUGGAUGAGUUGCGAACGGGUGAGUAACGCGUAGGUAACCUGCCUGGUAGCGGGGGAUAACUAUUGGAAACGAUAGCUAAUACCGCAUAAUAGUAGAUGUUGCAUGACAUUUGCCUAAAAGGUGCAAUUGCAUCACUACCAGGUGGACCUGCGUUGUAUUAGCUAGUUGGUGGGGUAACGGCUCACCAAGGCGACGAUACAUAGCCGACCUGAGAGGGUGAUCGGCCACACUGGGACUGAGACACGGCCCAGACUCCUACGGGAGGCAGCAGUAGGGAAUCUUCGGCAAUGGACGGAAGUCUGACCGAGCAACGCCGCGUGAGUGAAGAAGGGUUUCGGAUCGUAAAGCUCUGUUGUAAGAGAAGAACGAGUGUGAGAGUGGAAAGUUCACACUGUGACGGUAUCUUACCAGAAAGGGACGGCUAACUACGUG
rnacentral:rRNA from 1 species